ACCACCCGUAGAAAGACAUAUCAUUAGUAAUAAUAAUAACAAGUCCCAUUAUCAAGAAAGAAAUAAAAAAAACAUGGAACAUAAGGGAUUCUCCAUGGCGAUUUCGAUCAUUUUCCUACUCCUAAUCUCAGGGGGAGGGGUAGAAGGGGAGCCUCAGCCGCCAAUGAAAUGCCUUGGGCCGUGCGCAAUCAUACCGAAUUGCGACCACAUGUGCAAGGGAGAAGGGUAUUACAUCGGCCAGUGUAUGGGAUGGAAGAUCGCCGACCAGUGCUGUUGCAUCGUGCUCCAUCCCCCUACCCUCCAUCCUUCUCCAUCGAAUUAAUUAAUCGAAAUUUGUGUUUAAAAAAAAAUUCAGUUCAUGAAUAAGACUGAUACUAUGAGAUGAAGUGAAGUUAUGAUUUUCUGUUUCGAUA